CAGUGCCUCGACAGAUGAUGGCGGUGAUGCCGGACAGUCGUUGGUCUCGUCUACACAACUUGAGAGUAGUGAAUGGACUGAGGAGCAAUAUUUUACACAUGCCACUCAAGAUUCAGAUCAUGGAACUCGAUAAGGUACUGGUCAAGUUUAUGCACGGAAGGGGAAGGCAGUGGUGAAUAUGAACAAAUACGACAGAGCAUACAUGAUAUAGACACAAAAAGAGGCUCAUCGUAUUAUGGAGAAUCAUACGGGCAAUAACAAUAUGGUGAUAGUUGGUCAUCCUUCUCUGAGCAACAACAUUAUACAGAACAGCACCAAUAUAUGCCUCAAGAGCUGCCUCGGACAAAUAUGAUUCAUGACGAUCAGUCUACGAUCAGCACCAUAUUGAUGCAUCAAUGGCACACGGUGUAUCAAUAUACUAUGUCAUGGGAUCAAUUUCAUGAUUGGGUCCAACAAACGUAUCAUAUUGAUAUGUAUCGGAUCGAGGACCCCGAUCCACCACCCGUGGAAGCCCGUUGUUCGUUUUGGUGGUAGAACAACAAUCAGAUAUAUCUAGAUAUGUGAUAAUUUAUUUUAUUUGAAUUUUAGAGUUUAUAUUGUAACAAAAUAGUCUAACAAUUCAACUGAUUUUUUUGUAGAUAUUUCAAUCUAUAACGGGCUGAAAUACGAACCUCGAACAAGACUACCUCAAAGCCUGAAAAAGAUAUGUGAUACUAUUUUUACCUAAUUUACAUUGAUUUUGCUAAACUUAUACUAUUACUAUAUUUAUUUGUAACUUGAAAACCCUAUCCUAACUUUUUUUUCUAAUUUUCAGGUAUUUUGGAGGGAUAAAUCGGUAAAAUCGGGUGUACCGCUCGGUACACCUCGGUAUACCGGUCGGUACACCCGUACCGUACCGUACCGAGCCUGGGUCGAAACUCCGGUACGGUACGGUAUAGCGGACCUUGGUUGCAACAAUUUGACUUGUAGCUACCUUAUAAGCAUUAGCUUUAAAUGGAUGUUGCCAAGCACCAGUCGACACAGCUCUAUAGUAUUCAUGAGACAAUUGUCUUUCAUCCUUCUUUCAUGCUUUCCUAUACUUGUUAUCCACUUGCUUUAUUUAGUCAUGCUUUCACCCAAGGUUCG
rnacentral:lncRNA from 1 species